rnacentral:lncRNA from 1 species
CUCGGUCACCUAGGAAAAUGCUUGCUUGCAGGCAGUGACCUCAUGCUGUUCUUGGGAAGAACUUAUUUACUGCCUUGAAGGGGAAUAAACAAGGGGACAGAAAAUAAAAUCUAAGGGAAAGAGCAAAAUGUUUACUUUUUUUAUGACAACUAUUUUUGCCAGGAUGCACGUGAGGAGAUAAUGUGACAUGUAGCUUUGUUGAAAACUAACGCUGGCUUGUAGGCACACUCAACUUAGACCUAAACAGGUCUUAGAAUGUCAAUACAGCCUCUGAAAAGGAAUGGUCUUCACAUUUGUGAAACCCUCAAAACUCUUCCCAUUCGUGGUAACUCAACUGCACCUCCUUGAUUUUCUUAAAAUUAACUCCCAUUCACUGCUCCGCUCCGACUGUUAGGGAAUGCAGAGAGGAGCCUGCUGGCUACUUGAAACUUUAGGGCACUGGCCAGUGGUUUGCUGACAGGAGGGUCCUGGUGGUUCCA